AGAGUUUGAUCCUGGCUCAGGAUGAACGCUGGCGGCGUGCCUAAUACAUGCAAGUCGAGCGAACGGACGAGAAGCUUGCUUCUCUGAUGUUAGCGGCGGACGGGUGAGUAACACGUGGAUAACCUACCUAUAAGACUGGGAUAACUUCGGGAAACCGGAGCUAAUACCGGAUAAUAUUUUGAACCGCAUGGUUCAAAAGUGAAAGACGGUCUUGCUGUCACUUAUAGAUGGAUCCGCGCUGCAUUAGCUAGUUGGUAAGGUAACGGCUUACCAAGGCAACGAUGCAUAGCCGACCUGAGAGGGUGAUCGGCCACACUGGAACUGAGACACGGUCCAGACUCCUACGGGAGGCAGCAGUAGGGAAUCUUCCGCAAUGGGCGAAAGCCUGACGGAGCAACGCCGCGUGAGUGAUGAAGGUCUUCGGAUCGUAAAACUCUGUUAUUAGGGAAGAACAUAUGUGUAAGUAACUGUGCACAUCUUGACGGUACCUAAUCAGAAAGCCACGGCUAACUACGUGCCAGCAGCCGCGGUAAUACGUAGGUGGCAAGCGUUAUCCGGAAUUAUUGGGCGUAAAGCGCGCGUAGGCGGUUUUUUAAGUCUGAUGUGAAAGCCCACGGCUCAACCGUGGAGGGUCAUUGGAAACUGGAAAACUUGAGUGCAGAAGAGGAAAGUGGAAUUCCAUGUGUAGCGGUGAAAUGCGCAGAGAUAUGGAGGAACACCAGUGGCGAAGGCGACUUUCUGGUCUGUAACUGACGCUGAUGUGCGAAAGCGUGGGGAUCAAACAGGAUUAGAUACCCUGGUAGUCCACGCCGUAAACGAUGAGUGCUAAGUGUUAGGGGGUUUCCGCCCCUUAGUGCUGCAGCUAACGCAUUAAGCACUCCGCCUGGGGAGUACGACCGCAAGGUUGAAACUCAAAGGAAUUGACGGGGACCCGCACAAGCGGUGGAGCAUGUGGUUUAAUUCGAAGCAACGCGAAGAACCUUACCAAAUCUUGACAUCCUUUGACAACUCUAGAGAUAGAGGCUUCCCCUUCGGGGGACAAAGUGACAGGUGGUGCAUGGUUGUCGUCAGCUCGUGUCGUGAGAUGUUGGGUUAAGUCCCGCAACGAGCGCAACCCUUAAGCUUAGUUGCCAUCAUUAAGUUGGGCACUCUAAGUUGACUGCCGGUGACAAACCGGAGGAAGGUGGGGAUGACGUCAAAUCAUCAUGCCCCUUAUGAUUUGGGCUACACACGUGCUACAAUGGACAAUACAAAGGGCAGCAAAACCGCGAGGUCAAGCAAAUCCCAUAAAGUUGUUCUCAGUUCGGAUUGUAGUCUGCAACUCGACUACAUGAAGCUGGAAUCGCUAGUAAUCGUAGAUCAGCAUGCUACGGUGAAUACGUUCCCGGGUCUUGUACACACCGCCCGUCACACCACGAGAGUUUGUAACACCCGAAGCCGGUGGAGUAACCUUUUAGGAGCUAGCCGUCGAAGGUGGGACAAAUGAUUGGGGUGAAGUCGUAACAAGGUAGCCGUAUCGGAAGGUGCGGCUG
rnacentral:rRNA from 1 species